rnacentral:tRNA from 1 species
GGGGUGAUUAGCUCAGCUGGGAGAGCACCUCCCUUACAAGGAGGGGGUCGGCGG